rnacentral:rRNA from 1 species
UGAGGAAUAUUGGUCAAUGGGCGAGAGCCUGAACCAGCCAAGUAGCGUGCAGGAUGACGGCCCUAUGGGUUGUAAACUGCUUUUAUGUGGGGAUAAAGUGCGUGACGUGUCAUGCAUUGCAGGUAUCACAUGAAUAAGGACCGGCUAAUUCCGUGCCAGCAGCCGCGGUAAUACGGAAGGUCCGGGCGUUAUCCGGAUUUAUUGGGUUUAAAGGGAGCGUAGGCUGUCUAUUAAGCGUGUUGUGAAAUUUACCGGCUCAACCGGUGGCUUGCAGCGCGAACUGGUCGACUUGAGUAUUCAGGAAGUAGGCGGAAUUCAUGGUGUAGCGGUGAAAUGCUUAGAUAUCAUGACGACCUCCGAUUGCGCAGGCAGCUUACUGUAGCAUAACUGACGCUGAUGCUCGAAAGUGCGGGUAUCAAACAGG